UACGGAGGAUGCAAGCGUUAUCCGGAUUCAUUAGGUAUAAAGGGUGCGUAGGCGGAUUUGUAAGUCAGUGGUGAAAUACUAUAGCUUAACUAUAGAACUGCCAUUGAUACUGCAAGUCUUGAGUACAAUUGAGGUAGGCGGAAUGUGUGGUGUAGCGGUGAAAUGCUUAGAUAUCACACAGAACACCGAUUGCGAAGGCAGCUUACUAAACUGUAACUGACGCUGAUGCACGAAAGCAUGGGGAGCAAACAGG
rnacentral:rRNA from 1 species